rnacentral:rRNA from 1 species
GUUGGGUAGGGGAGCGUUCUGUAAGCCUGUGAAGGUGGCCUGUGAGGGUUGCUGGAGGUAUCAGAAGUGCGAAUGCUGACAUAAGUAACGAUAAAGCGGGUGAAAAGCCCGCUCGCCGGAAGACCAAGGGUUCCUGUCCAACGUUAAUCGGGGCAGGGUGAGUCGACCCCUAAGGCGAGGCCGAAAGGCGUAGUCGAUGGGAAACGGGUUAAUAUUCCCGUACUUGGUGUUACUGCGAAGGGGGGACGGAGAAGGCUAUGUUGGCCGGGCGACGGUUGUCCCGGUUUAAGCGUGUAGGCUGGUUUUCCAGGCAAAUCCGGAAAAUCAAGGCUGAGGCGUGACGACGAGGCACUACGGUGCUGAAGCAACAAAUGCCCUGCUUCCAGGAAAAGCCUCUAAGCAUCAGGUAACAUCAAAUCGUACCCCAAACCGACACAGGUGGUCAGGUAGAGAAUACCAAGGCGCUUGAGAGAACUCGGGUGAAGGAACUAGGCAAAAUGGUGCCGUAACUUCGGGAGAAGGCACGCUGACAUGUAGGUGAAGUGAUUUACUCAUGGAGCUGAAGUCAGUCGAAGAUACCAGCUGGCUGCAACUGUUUAUUAAAAACACAGCACUGUGCAAACACGAAAGUGGACGUAUACGGUGUGACGCCUGCCCGGUGCCGGAAGGUUAAUUGAUGGGGUCAGCGCAAGCGAAGCUCCUGAUCGAAGCCCCGGUAAACGGCGGCCGUAACUAUAACGGUCCUAAGGUAGCGAAAUUCCUUGUCGGGUAAGUUCCGACCUGCACGAAUGGCGUAAUGAUGGCCAGGCUGUCUCCACCCGAGACUCAGUGAAAUUGAACUCGCUGUGAAGAUGCAGUGUACCCGCGGCAAGACGGAAAGACCCCGUGAACCUUUACUAUAGCUUGACACUGAACAUUGAGCCUUGAUGUGUAGGAUAGGUGGGAGGCUUUGAAG